rnacentral:rRNA from 1 species
CCUACGGGUGACAGCAGUGAGGAAUAUUGGUCAAUGGGCGCGAGCCUGAACCAGCCAAGUAGCGUGAAGGAUGACUGCCCUACGGGUUGUAAACUUCUUUUAUAAAGGAAUAAAGUGAGGCACGUGUGCCUUUUUGUAUGUACUGUAUGAAUAAGGAUCGGCUAAUUCCGUGCCAGCAGCCGCGGUAAUACGGAGGGUCCGAGCGUUAUCCGGAUUUAUUGGGUUUAAAGGGAGCGUAGAUGGGUUGUUAAGUCAGUUGUGAAAUUUUGGGGCUCAACCGUAAAAUUGCAAUUGAUACUGGCAGUCUUGAGUACAGUGGAGGUAGGCGGAAUUCGUGGUGUAGCGGUGAAAUGCUUAGAUAUGACGAAGAACUCCGAUUGCGAAGGCAGCUUACUAAACUGCCACUGACAUUGAUGCUCGAAAGUGUGGGUAUCAAACAGGAUUAGAUACCCGAGUAGUC